rnacentral:rRNA from 1 species
AGACUUGGUUCCUUAUGAGGAUAGCGGGGGCGGGAGAAUAACACGUGGGUCCCCUGUCCUAACAGUGGUAUAUCUCCGGAAACCCGGGUAUAAUACCGGGUAACGUUUUGAACCGCAUGGCACAAAUUUGAGGGGCGUUUUCGUAUGACUCUUAUGGGUGGACCCGCGGCAUUUUAUAUAUGUGGAGAGGUAGCGUCUCCCCGGGGACACUAUGCAUACCCCACCUGAGAGGGAGAUCGCCCACUGUGACAGUGACACGCGCCCCACACUCCUACGAGAGGCAGCAAUAGGGACUCUCCCGCAGUGCACGAAAGUGUGACGGAACAGCCCCGCGAGAGAGAUGAGGGCUUUCAUCUCGUAAAACUCUGUUGUUAGGGAAGAACAAGUGCUACUUAUAUAAGGUGACACCGAGACGACCCCUACCCAAAAACACGCGUAUCUAUACGUGCCAGCACGCGCGAUAAUACAUAUGUCGCGCGCGUCUCCAGAAUAUUGCGCGUAGAGCGCGCGCACGGUUCUCAGACUGUGAUGAGAGAGCCCGCGUCUCAGCGUGGAGUCUCAGUGGACUGUGGACACGAGAGUGCAGAGAGAUGUGAAUUACGUGUGUAGCUGUGAUGUGCAUAGAGAUAUAGAGCACACGUGUCGCAGACGAGACUCUCUGCUCUGUCUGUGACUCUGAGCGCGAAGCGGAGAGCAACAGUAUGAUAUACCUGAUAGUCACGCGUACGCUAUGAGCUAGGUAAGUUCGUCAUAAGUGACUAGCGAUAGGACUCGCUUGGAUACCGGCAAGUGUACUAGAUGACGAUCGGACGGACGUACCGAUCG